rnacentral:rRNA from 1 species
GAUGAACGCUGGCGGCGUGCCUAAUACAUGCAAGUCGAACGAAACUUCUUUAUCACCGAGUGCUUGCACUCACCGAUAAAGAGUUGAGUGGCGAACGGGUGAGUAACACGUGGGCAACCUGCCCAAAAGAGGGGGAUAACACUUGGAAACAGGUGCUAAUACCGCAUAACCAUAGUUACCGCAUGGUAACUCUGUAAAAGGUGGCUAUACUACCGCCUUUGGAUGGGCCCGCGGCGCAUUACUUGGUGGUAGGGUAAAGGCUUACCAAGGAAAUGAAGCGUAGCCGAAUAGAGAGGUUGAUCGGCCACAUGGGGACUGAGACACGGCCCAAACUCCUACGGGAGGCAGCAGUAGGGAAUCUGCCACAAUGGGCGAAAGCCUGAGGGAGCAACGCCGCGUGGGUGAAGAAGGUCUUCGGAUCGUAAAACCCUGUUGUUAGAGAAGAAAGUGCGUGAGAGUAACUGUUCACGUUUCGACGGUAUCUAACCAGAAAGCCACGGCUAACUACGU